rnacentral:lncRNA from 1 species
GUCCCAGGUGUGCCCAGGUGUGUCCCAGCUGUGUCUCACCUGUCCCAGGUGUGCCCAGGUGUGUCCCAGCUGUGUCUCACCUGUCUCAGGUGUGUCUCACCUGUCCCAGCUGUGCCCAGGUGUGUCCCAGCUGUGUCUCACCUGUCCCAGCUGUGUCUCACCUGUCCCAGGUGUGUCUCACCUAUCUCAGGUGUGUCUCACCUGUCCCAGGUGUGUCUCCAGGUGUGUCUCACCUGUCCCAGCUGUGUCUCACCUGUCUCAGGUGUGUCCCAGGUGUGUCUCACCUGUCCAGGUGUGUCUCACCUUGAUGAAGGCGUAGCCAGCGCUGUUGUCGGUGAUGGUCAGCCCCAGCUGUGCCCAGGUGUGUCUCACCUGUCUCAGGUGUGUCUCACCUUGAUGAAGGCGUAG